rnacentral:rRNA from 1 species
UGAACGCUGGCGGUCUGCUUAACACAUGCAAGUCGAACGGGCUCUUCGGAGCUAGUGGCGGACGGGUGAGUAACGCGUGAGAAUCUGCCUUCAGGUCUGGGACAACAGAAGGAAACUUCUGCUAAUCCCGGAUGCGCCUUUUGGUAAAAGAUUAAUUGCCUGGAGAUGAGCUCGCGUCUGAUUAGCUAGUUGGUGUGGUAAAAGCAUACCAAGGCGACGAUCAGUAGCUGGUCUGAGAGGAUGAGCAGCCACACUGGGACUGAGACACGGCCCAGACUCCUACGGGAGGCAGCAGUGGGGAAUUUUCCGCAAUGGGCGAAAGCCUGACGGAGCAAGACCGCGUGGGGGAGGAAGGCUCUAGGGUUGUAAACCCCUUUUCUUUAGGAAGAAGUUCUGACGGUACUAAAGGAAUCAGCCUCGGCUAACUCCGUGCCAGCAGCCGCGGUAAU